AGUGUCAAGAGAUGGGAAUCGAACCCACGACCUUCCGCUUACCGGGCAGAUGCCAUGACCACUAGGCCACAUGACC